GCUGAUCUAUAUCCAGCUUAUUAUAACAAUAUGUUCAUUAUCUCCAGCAUUCAAUGAUGCAACACCAACGGUGGUUGAUACAUAAUAGCCUGCAUAAUAAGUUCCUCAACACAGCCAAACCGCGCCACCGAAUUAAAAGAUUGAGCUUACCUUCGGAGCAGUUUUAACAAUCCCUCAAACAGGAGUCAACCCAACAACACCACAUGCCAAUCUUCCCCCAGCAUUUCCAGUGGUCAGGCUGAGCUCAUGACCGCCCUUUCCCAGAUCAUCUUCAAGCUCAUGAACCACAAGUGCU
rnacentral:misc_RNA from 1 species